ensembl:lncRNA
GUUGACCAUGAGCACGGUUACACGGAAGAGUCUCUCCGUUGAAAACUGAGGUCGAAAUUGGCAGCCAACGUGUAAUUGGUGCAGGCAGACCCUCCGCACAUAUGUUUGAUCACUAAUCUGACGACCUGGUGCCACAGCAAACCUCUGGCUCAGCUGUCCCACGCAUCUCCCCAAACUCUCACUCAUGACAGUGAACCAGCCCCACUGAUAUCCGAAGAAGUAGUGGUGACAGUGGGUACUCCUGUCAGCUGACCUGACCCCAGCGGACCUCUGCCGCUAUCGACCAAGUGACCCAGUGUACUGCUGAGGGAAAACAACAUUUCCUGCAACUGCAGAGGGGUCCCCGAGCAGCGAGAGAGGAGCCGGCAAUGUGACUGACACAGGGUGACAAACACUUUGAACUCAGACAACAGGAAAUUAAUGCAUGGAGCGCCGCUCAAGGCACAGCACAUUGCAUGCGGCACACUUAAAUUGACACGUCUAUCCAGAUGACACAUGUUGAUACUGUGGCUGUGGCCUCGGUUUCACUUGUGAGUCUCUGCAUCUGGUUCUUCUCCAAUACUGCUGGCACACUGGCCACAUAAAGACAGGCCCUGCAGAUACUGGAGCCGCCCUGUGAAUACAAAUGUAAGUGGCUUAGUCUUUUUUUAUUUUUUUGCAUCCAAAAACAAAUCUCAAUAUGGCAUCAGCAACUUGAAACUUAAUGUGAAAAUAGGAUUGGCAUUUGUGCUACUAAAUGACCCCAUUUAAAAUCACUGAAUGCAGGGGUUGCAGUUAGCUUGUGUGGGCAGUGAUGGUAUCUGUUAUUUUAGCCUGGGGGGGGCCUCUGGAAUUUAAGUGCUUAAUCUUGUCUGCCUACUGAACCAAAAAGAAAAGCUGUUUGUUAGACUACAUCUAUGCGAUGGUGUCUAUUUUUUAAACUGCAGGUUUUGUGUGGAAGCCACUUGUGUCCUGUUGUAGGUUGUUUCAGUGGCGACAUUGGCCAUCAAUGAAACAAGAAGGUAUAAAUAGAUACAUCUCACCUUCUUCCCCCUAUUUCAGUUGAGCCAUUGAGAACGCUGGGUAUCAAAGUCAAAACAUGGUUAUUAUGUCCACUAGUUUUCAUGACUUCACAGCCACACAGUAUCAGUAUCCGAUCUCCAGUGGCCAAGCUAACGUACAAGGGCAGAGACUCAUUUUACUGUUGGACACAAAACAAACAGAGACAUUUCCCGCAAUUCCUGAAAAGGGACACCAAAGGUUCCGCCCAAAGUGCAACUGUGUUAAGAGUAUAUAGGGUUUUUGCAUGGAAGCCUGCAUUUUUUUUGUAAUUUUACACCAAGUGCUUUUUUUGGUCAUACAUGCAUUAAAAUGAUGAAACCCAUCCACCUGAGAAAGCAAGUUUGGAAUAAGUUGUUGUUAGACCUGCUAUUGCUGUAUAUAAAUGCAAAGAGGCACUGCCCUAUACCAGUAAGCUUUUAUGCAUUCGAUUACCUAAAUUUACUGUGUGCCAUGC